AAUGAUUGACUCAUACAUUGUGCAUCUGUUUACUAUAUAUAUGAUGCACUUUGUACUUUUAAUGAAGGGACAGAAACCUCUCAGGUUGUGUUUUGUGUUUUAAAGAUUAACCAAGUCUUAUGUGAACGGGUGAGUAAACUGUAGAAUAUUAAUUUUGGGGUUAAAUACUCCUUUAGAUUUCAGAUCUGCUUCUUUUUUGUUUCUGCGUUUGAAAUCAGAUCUCUAAACAUUGUUUCUUUCUCCAUGGCUAUUAAAGUGAAGGAUGUCUGUUACAUUAUAACUGUAAUGUCCCUUCUGUGUGCGUUUGUAAAUGUUUGAAACUGUUAGAGUCACUUUAGAACACCUUUGUGAAUCCUGGAAAGAUUCCAAGACAUUCCAAGGUUUGGCGGCUCCAUUUCUCACCCCUCUGCUGUUCAAGGCUCGGACAACAGCAGCUAAUCUAUCCCUCAUCCUCUUUGACUCGUCAGUACACACAGAAAGAACAGACAAGCUGCUCAAGCAAAUCCUGCGUGAAGGCAAAAGUUUUUGUGUGCUUUACCGCAACUACAGCAAAAUUAAGCCCAGAUCUGGCAUCAAGAGUAUCUGUCGUCUUCACCCCUUCCUCACUCAAUCUACAGCUAUUCCCUCAUUUGUCUUCAUUAUUAAUUCUCUCUCCUUUUUUCUCGAGUUACCACUUUGUAAGCAUAUUUCAAGAACCGAGGCACUUUUGAUGAACUGCCCGACAACUUUGGGGGAAGUCUUGGCCUAAUGGUUAGAGAGUCGGACUCCCAAUCGAAGGGUUGUGAGUUCUAGUCUCGGGCCGGACGGAAUUGUGGGUGGGGGUAGUGCAUGAACAGCUUUCUCUCCACCUUCAACACCACGACUUAGGUGUCCUUGAGCAAGGCAUCGAACCCCCAACUGCUCCCCGGGCGCCGCAGCAUAAAUGGCUGCCCACUGCUCCGGGUGUGUGCUCACAGUGUGUGUGUGUGUGUGUUCACUGCUCUGUGUGUGUGCAUUUCGGAUGGGUUAAAUGCAGAGCACAAAUUCUGAGUAUGGGUCACCAUACUUGGCUGAAUGUCACUUCACUUCACUUUUAA